CAAUAUAGCCUAAUCUCGCCAAUGAGAUCUUACUCAAAUAAUAAAAUUGAUGCAUCAAAAAAAGACUCUUCUUUGUGAUAUUGUAUUCUUGUAUACGUGCGGUGUAGCUUUUCCACAAUUGUGUGGUGUUGAAGUUCCGCCUGUGUGCAGGUUGCAUAAUUAAUUAUAUUCAAAUAUCACUUAUAAUUCUAAUUCAAAGAGAAAAGAAGAAAAGAAAAGAAAAAAAAGCCUAAUCCCAAUCCCCUGGAUCCUCCUACCCACAUGCAAUUUGAUGAGCUAA
rnacentral:lncRNA from 1 species